CCUACGGGAGGCUGCAGUGAGGAAUAUUGGUCAAUGGGCGCAAGCCUGAACCAGCCAAGUCGCGUGAGGGAUGACGGUCCUAUGGAUUGUAAACCUCUUUUGUCGGGGAGUAAGGCCCGCCACGUGUGGCUGGUAGGAGAGUACCCGUAGAAAAAGCAUCGGCAAACUCCGUUCCAGCAGCCGCGGUAAUACGGAGGAUGCGAGGGUUAUUCGGAUUUAUUGGGGUUAAGGGGUGCGUAGGCGGAAGGUUAAGUCAGCGGUAAAAUGUCGGUGCCAACCACUGGCCUGCCGUUGAAACUGGUGUUCUUGAGUGAGCGAGAAGUAUGCGGAAUGCGUGGUGUAGCGGUGAAAUGCAUAGAUAUCACGCAGAACUCCGAUUGCGAAGGCAGCAUACCGGCGCUCAACUGACGCUGAGGCACGAAAGCGUGGGGAUCGAACAGGAUUAGAUACCCGAGUAGUC
rnacentral:rRNA from 1 species